UCAUUAUUUUCAUGAUAGGUUAAGGACAGUUAUAUAAGCAUUUCUUUGUUCUUACCAAAGACCCACGUGAGCAAUGGCUGUCACUAAUUUAAUCCACUGGACUCCGGUUCAGGCAAGAAAUUCACCAAAAUGGAGGCUGAGAUAGCUGGGCUUUAGCCCGUGGACUACAAGCCUAGGGGACAAAACAAAGGAACUUAACAUCCCCAAAAAGGGCAAAGAAAACAAAUACCAAGUAGACCAUUUAGACGGAAAGUCCCAUGGAUGAUGCAUAUAUCCGAACAUCUCAUUUCCCCAGUAGAGCAAACGAGACGAAGGAGACGACUUUGCAGAUUAACAUAACAUGGCCAAGGAAACACCCUACUACAAAACACUCAGACCAGCACCGGUCUACGGAGACAUUUGUUCAUGCUAGCACCAUCUGCAUAUGUGUAACUGUGCGAGGCAAAAGUGGCCGUCCUAAUCUUCUGCCAUGUAGCCGACACACACGUAGCAUGUCCAUGAAAAUGAGCAGAAUCUGGCGUUGAACCCACCCAUGAAAUAUUCGAAGGAGGCCAUGCGAGUGAAGCCCAGAGAGCAAUACAAACGGCGCUAUGCAGGGAAGGAAGCGAAAGGAGGAGCCUCAGAACAACAACGAUGCCAGGGAAACCACCGAGAGCGAGGCAGCGAGGACCAUGAGGCUUCGUAUUAAGGCUUGAGCACAAGAGCGUGGAACAGGCGUGAUGGCUGAUACAGAUGGUUUAUCAAGAAGUGCCAAGAAGCAAUACGAUAGAAGGCUAGAGAUGGCAAUGGAGGUGGUGAUGGGAUGAGUCUCAAAAGGAGACUCUGGCUUCUCUUGGUGCUUCACGUCAAUGAGAUUCACUAGGACUUGAAUAAUGAAGGUGAGUGCGCCAUGGUGGUUGGAACUAAUGAACAACGCAAUCUAAGUAUCGAUGCUCCAUUGAGGAAGGGCUAAUGGCAUUUUAGUAUGUGUUGGGAAGAAAGCCCAAAUAAUUGAUUCCUGGGUUAAGAUUUGACAGAAAGAGA
rnacentral:lncRNA from 1 species